rnacentral:rRNA from 1 species
AACGUAGGUGACAAGCGUUAUCCGGAUUUACUGGGCGUAAAGCGUGUGCAGGCUGUGCUUCAAGUGGUGUAUGAAAGCGCUCGGCUUAACCGGGCAAGGUUAUGCCAGACUGAAGUGCUAGAGGCGGAAAGAGGGACGUGGAAUUCCGGGUGUAGUGGUGAAAUGCGUAGAGAUCCGGAGGAACACCAGAGGCGAAGGCGGCGUCCUAGUUCUGGCCUGACGCUCAGACACGAAAGCAUGGGGAGCGAAC